AAAGAUAUAGCAUAUUCUUCUGAAUAUACUUUAUUAACCCAUUCCGAGUACCUUACCUGUUGCUUCCGCGAGGCUGUCCUCACGGCCCCUCGAAGAUUUAUCUUUGGGGAGUCCUUGCGGAAGGUUAAUACAAUAACUCUUGCAUUACCAUGUCAUACUGUCUUAAUCUGUUUAAAAAAAAACAAAUAUUA
rnacentral:misc_RNA from 1 species